UCCCCAUCACAUUAGGCUGUGGAUGUUGGAACUGUGCAUGCGGAUACUGCAACCAUUGGCCUUGUUGAGGAAACCGUUGUGCUACAUUUGCAUCAGAACCGGCAAUAGCAACAUCUCUAUCAUUAUUAUUAUCGCAUUUGCAUCAGAACCGGCAAUAGCAACAUCUCUAUUAUUAUUAUCAUCGAUAGGUUCCUCACCAACAACUCCUGCCUUGGCAAGGAAAUCCUCCAAUGUCAUCUCCCCCAAAGUGGGUUGUCUAUCUUUAGACUUCCUCUCCCCAUUAUUUUUGCUUUGUUGAAUGUCUC
rnacentral:lncRNA from 1 species